rnacentral:rRNA from 1 species
AUACGAAGGGGGCUAGCGUUGUUCGGAAUUACUGGGCGUAAAGCGCACGUAGGCGGACUUUUAAGUCAGGUGUGAAAUCCCGGGGCUCAACCUCGGAACUGCAUUUGAAACUGGAAGUCUGGAGAUCAGGAGAGGUUAGCGGAAUACCGAGUGUAGAGGUGAAAUUCGUAGAUAUUCGGUGGAACACCAGUGGCGAAGGCGGCUAACUGGACUGAUACUGACGCUGAGGUGCGAAAGUGUGGGGAGC